GGGUUAUCCGUAAGGAGAAGCUCUUGAUCGAAGCCCCAGUAAACGGCGGCCGUAACUAUAACGGUCCUAAGGUAGCGAAAUUCCUUGUCGGGUAAGUUCCGACCUGCACGAAUGGCGUAAUGAUGGCCAGGCUGUCUCCACCCGAGACUCAGUGAAAUUGAACUCGCUGUGAAGAUGCAGUGUACCCGCGGCAAGACGGAAAGACCCCGUGAACCUUUACUAUAGCUUGACACUGAACAUUGAGCCUUGAUGUGUAGGAUAGGUGGGAGGCUUYGAAGCGUGGACGCCAGUCUGCGUGGAGCCAACCUUGAAAUACCACCCUUUAAUGUUUGAUGUUCUAACGUUGCCCCAUUAUCUGGGGUGCGGACAGUGUCUGGUGGGUAGUUUGACUGGGGCGGUCUCCUCCCAAAGAGUAACGGAGGAGCACGAAGGUUGGCUAAGCAUGGUCGGACAUCAUGCGGUUAGUGCAAAGGCAUAAGCCAGCUUGACUGCGAGAGUGACGGCUCGAGCAGGUACGAAAGUAGGUCUUAGUGAUCCGGUGGUUCUGAAUGGAAGGGCCAUCGCUCAACGGAUAAAAGGUACUCCGGGGAUAACAGGCUGAUACCGCCCAAGAGUUCAUAUCGACGGCGGUGUUUGGCACCUCGAUGUCGGCUCAUCACAUCCUGGGGCUGAAGUAGGUCCCAAGGGUACGGCUGUUCGCCGUUUAAAGUGGUACGCGAGCUGGGUUUAGAACGUCGUGAGACAGUUCGGUCCCUAUCUGCCGUGGGCGUUGGAAGAUUGAAAGGGGCUGCUCCUAGUACGAGAGGACCGGAGUGGACGCACCACUGGUGUUCGGGUUGUCAUGCCAAUGGCAUUGCCCGGUAGCUAAGUGCGGAAGAGAUAACCGCUGAAAGCAUCUAAGCGGGAAACUUGCCUUGAGAUGAGUCUUCCCUGACUCUUUAAGG
rnacentral:rRNA from 1 species